AAAAUAUGGAAUAUUAUGGCAAUAUGUGACAUUAUGACUUACAUGUGUAUAAAUAGGGGAUUGAGAUGAGAGAACAUAACUCAGAAAUAAGGAGGUUGUUGGGAGAAAGGGUCUUGUAUGUAGACAAAGAGUCAUGUCUAGUAGCCAAGGAUGGCUUGCCUAGCAAUCCCAAUAUUCAUGGGACUUUUGUACGAAUUCGUUCGUUGUUGAAGAGCCUUGUUUGGUUAAUUUGGCAAGCUUUCCAUGGCUAUUUGAUUGUCUCUUGUCUUACUUAUUAGACCUUCCUCACUCUUAAUUAUCAUACCAAUGCUCAGUAUAUAUUUAGCCAUUAAUUCGAGGAAAGUUGAAUGUCACCCCAGCUACCAUGAAUCAUUGAACAGUUGUCGAACAGAAGAGAGAAUGGUUUAGCAGAUUGUGACUAAGUUGUCUCAUGUAUAAAAAGUAAUUGGUAAAGGUUGUGUUUGUAUUACUUGAUUGCUGCGUUUUAUAUUACUUCCUAUGUUUUCUUCAUUUCACACACACAUAUUUUUUUAUUUAUUAAAAUACUCUUAUUUAUUGUA